AUCUUCUAACAUAUUAAGAAAUCCAGAAAUUUUUAUUUUUAUUUUUAUUUUUUAUUUCAAGUAAUUAAUUAUUUAGUAUUGUCAUACCCCAAAAUUUUCCCUCCCCUUUUCAUUUCUACCCAACUUUUGGUUUGAGAUUCCAUCUGAAUAUCCAUGACAUCAUAGUACAUCCAUUUCCAUUGAUAAACUCAAAGUCAUAGGUUCAAGGGCCUUGAUCACACAAAUCAUGGAAGAAGGGUUGAGUCCCCACAUUAAGUUUCAUUUUAAU
rnacentral:lncRNA from 1 species